rnacentral:rRNA from 1 species
UACAGAGGUCUCAAGCGUUUGUUCGGAUUCAUUGGGCGUAAAGGGUGCGUAGGCGGCUGUGCAAGUCAGGUGUGAAAGCCCUGGGCUCAACCCAGGAUGAUGCACUUGAUACUGCGCGGCUAGAGUGUCGGAGAGGAUGGUGGAAUUCCCAGUGUAGAGGUGAAAAUUCGUGAGAUAUUGGGAAGAACACCGGGUGGCGAAGGCGACCAUCUGGACGACAACUGACGCUGAGGCGCGAAAGCGUGGGGAGCAAACAGG